GUCCACGCCCUAAACGAUGGCGACUAGUUGUUGGGGAUUAACAUCCUUAGUAACGCAGCUAACGCGUGAAGUCGCCCGCCUGGGGAGUACGGUCGCAAGAUUAAAACUCAAAGGAAUUGACGGGGCCCGCACAAGCGGUGGAUGAUGUGGUUUAAUUCGAUGCAACGCGAAAACCUUACCUGCCCUUGACAUGUCCGGAAUUCCGCAGAGAUGUGGAAGUGCCCGAAAGGGAGCCGGAACACAGGUGCUGCAUGGCUGUCGU
rnacentral:rRNA from 1 species